CCUACGGGCGGCAGCAGUCGAGAAUCAUUCACAAUGGGGGAAACCCUGAUGGUGCGACGCCGCGUGGGGGAAUGAAGGUCUUCGGAUUGUAAACCCCUGUCAUGUGGGAGCAAAUUAAAAAGAUAGUACCACAAGAGGAAGAGACGGCUAACUCUGUGCCAGCAGCCGCGGUAAUACAGAGGUCUCAAGCGUUGUUCGGAAUCACUGGGCGUAAAGGGUGCGUAGGCUGUUUCGUAAGUCGUGUGUGAAAGGCGCGGGCUCAACCCGCGGACGGCACAUGAUACUGCGAGACUAGAGUAAUGGAGGGGGAACCGGAAUUCUCGGUGUAGCAGUGAAAUGCGUAGAUAUCGAGAGGAACACUCGUGGCGAAGGCGGGUUCCUGGACAUUAACUGACGCUGAGGCACGAAGGCCAGGGGAGCGAAAGGGAUUAGAUACCCCAGUAGUC
rnacentral:rRNA from 1 species